CGCUAUCACUCCUACGGGAGGCAGCAGUAGGGAAUAUUGGGCAAGUGGUCGGAAGACUGACCCAGCCAUGCCGCGUGCAGGAAGACGGCCUAUUGGGGUUGUAAACUGCUUUUAUCUGGGAAGAAAAGGGCCAUGCGUGGCAAAUUGCCGGUACCAGAUGAAUAAGCACCGGCUAACUCCGUGCCAGCAGCCGCGGUAAUACGGAGGGUGCAAGCGUUGUCCGGAUUUAUUGGGGUUUAAAGGGUGCGUAGGCGGCUGAUUAAGUCAGCGGUGAAAGACUCCGGCUCAACCGGAGCAGUGCCGUUGAUACUGGUUAGCUUGAGUGCUGCAGGGUACAUGGAAUUGAUGGUGUAGCGGUGAAAUGCAUAGAUACCAUCAGGAACACCGAUAGCGAAGGCAUUGUACUGGGCAGCAACUGACGCUGAGGCACGAAAGCGUGGGGAUCGAACAGGAUUAGAUACCCUGGUAG
rnacentral:rRNA from 1 species